rnacentral:misc_RNA from 1 species
UACUUUUCCUCAAUUGCCAACCUUCAUUCCAACAAUUUCUAUUCCGUCCCGGAAUCAUCCAAUCACUGGAUUUUGGAAUAUAAAGAUCCGCUUUUCUCUCUCAGGCAAUAACAAGAGAGAAGGAGAAUCCUUUUCUUGCUUUCGUUCUAUCCCAAUAAGGUGUUCGUUGAUGGUCAUCUAAGCUGUUUCUCUCCAUAACUGUGAAAGAUGGUUGCCUUUGGGAAAAA